CCUACGGGAGGCAGCAGUGGGGAAUAUUGCACAAUGGGCGCAAGCCUGAUGCAGCAACGCCGCGUGAGGGACGACGGCCUUCGGGUUGUAAACCUCUUUUAGUAGGGAAGAAGCGAAAGUGACGGUACCUGCAGAAAAAGCACCGGCUAACUACGUGCCAGCAGCCGCGGUAAUACGUAGGGUGCAAGCGUUAUCCGGAAUUAUUGGGCGUAAAGAGCUCGUAGGCGGUUUGUCGCGUCUGCUGUGAAAACCUGGAGGCUCAACCUCCAGCCUGCAGUGGGUACGGGCAGACUAGAGUGCGGUAGGGGAGAUUGGAAUUCCUGGUGUAGCGGUGGAAUGCGCAGAUAUCAGGAGGAACACCGAUGGCGAAGGCAGAUCUCUGGGCCGUAACUGACGCUGAGGAGCGAAAGCAUGGGGAGCGAACAGGAUUAGAUACCCUGGUAGUCCAUGCCGUAAACGUUGGGAACUAGAUGUAGGGACCAUUCCACGGUUUCUGUGUCGCAGCUAACGCAUUAAGUUCCCCGCCUGGGGNGACGCGCGACGACGAACACAANAGAGUAGUACGCGNGAGACGUGCGACGACGACGACGACGGGAGGAGG
rnacentral:rRNA from 1 species